GACGAACCUUGCUAACGUUAUUCGGAAUUACUGGGCUUAAAGGGUGCGUAGGCGGUGCAGAAAGUUGGGUGUGAAAUCCCUCGGCUCAACCGAGGAAUUGCGCCCAAAACUGUUGCACUAGAGGAAGACAGAGGUACGCGGAACUUAGGGUGGAGCGGUGAAAUGCGUAGAUAUCAUUUGGAACGCCAAUGGUGAAAACAGGUAGCUGGGGCUGUGCUGACACUGAGACGCGAAAGCCAGGGGAGCAAACGGG
rnacentral:rRNA from 1 species